UACGUAGGUGGCAAGCGUUGUCCGGAAAUAUUGGGCGUAGAGCGCGCGCAGGCGGUCCUGUAAGUCUGGUGUGAAAGCCCACGGCUCAACCGUGGAGGGUCAUUGGAAACUGGAGGACUUGAGUGCUGAAGAGGAGAGUGGAAUUCCAUGUGUAGCGGUGAAAUGCGUAGAGAUGUGGAGGAACACCAGUGGCGAAGGCGACUUUCUGGUCUGUAACUGACGCUGAGGCGCGAAAGCGUGGGGAGCAAACAGG
rnacentral:misc_RNA from 1 species